UACGUAGGGGGCAAGCGUUGUCCGGAUUUAUUGGGCGUAAAGAGCGUGUAGGCGGCUUGGUAGGUCUCGCGUCAAAACCUGAGGCUCAACCUCAGUUCGCGUGGGAAACCACCUAGCUAGAGUCCGGAAGAGGAGAACGGAAUGCCCAGUGUAGCGGUGAAAUGCGCAGAUAUUGGGAAGAACACCAGUGGCGAAGGCGGUUCUCUGGGACGGUACUGACGCUGAGACGCGAAAGCGUGGGGAGCGAACAGG
rnacentral:rRNA from 1 species